GCCUUCGUAGCUCAGGGGUUAGAGCACUGGUCUCGUAAACCAGGGGUCGAGAAUUACAUUCCUCCUGACAGCA
rnacentral:tRNA from 1 species